GAAGUGAUUAGAAACUUGGAAAAGUGAGUUUUUAUGAAAGGGUGAAAAUUUGAAAAGAAACAAGAAAAAGAAAACACCCUUGAAGCCAUAGAGCAAAGAAAAAAAGUAAAGAAAAAAAAAAGAAAAUCAAAGAAAAUGCUCAUGGUUGUGUGGAUGUAAUAAGAAAAAGAAAAAAAAUAGGGAUCAAAGAAAGGGAAAUUGUGUAGAGUUAAA
rnacentral:lncRNA from 1 species